rnacentral:rRNA from 1 species
AAAUGAAUUGACGGGGGCCCGCACAAGCAGUGGAGUAUGUGGUUUAAUUCGACGCAACGCGAAGAACCUUACCAGGGCUUGACAUCCUCGGACCGGCAUAGAGAUAUGCCUUUCUCUUCGGAGACUGAGAGACAGGUGGUGCAUGGUUGUCGUCAGCUCGUGUCGUGAGAUGUUGGGUUAAGUCCCGCAACGAGCGCAACCCCUGUUGCCAGUUACCAUCAUUCAGUUGGGGACUCUGGCGAGACCGCCGUUGACAAAACGGAGGAAGGUGGGGAUGACGUCAAAUCAUCAUGCCCCUUAUGUCCUGGGCUACACACGUACUACAAUGGCAGCAACAACGGGCAGCGACGUCGCGAGACCGAGCGAAUCCCCAAAUGCUGUCUCAGUUCGGAUUGCAGGCUGCAACUCGCCUGCAUGAAGCAGGAAUUGCUAGUAAUGGCAGGUCAGCAUACUGCCGUGAAUACGUUCCCGGGCCUUGCACACACCGCCCGU